GGGGUUGUAGCUCAGUGGUAGAGCAAUUGCCUAGUAUGUGAGGCACUGGGUUCGAUCCCCAGCACCA
rnacentral:tRNA from 1 species